CUACGUGCCAGCAGCCGCGGUAAUACGGAAGGUCCAGGCGUUAUCCGGAUUUAUUGGGUUUAAAGGGAGCGUAGGCUGGAGAUUAAGUGUGUUGUGAAAUGUAGACGCUCAACGUCUGAAUUGCAGCGCAUACUGGUUUCCUUGAGUACGCACAACGUUGGCGGAAUUCGUCGUGUAGCGGUGAAAUGCUUAGAUAUGACGAAGAACUCCGAUUGCGAAGGCAGCUGACGGGAGCGCAACUGACGCUUAAGCUCGAAGGUGCGGGUAUCAAACAGGAUUAGAUACCCUGGUAGUCCGCACAGUAAACGAUGGAUGCCCGCUGUUGGUACCUGGUAUCAGCGGCUAAGCGAAAGCAUUAAGCAUCCCACCUGGGGAGUACGCCGGCAACGGUGAAACUCAAAGGAAUUGACGGGGGCCCGCACAAGCGGAGGAACAUGUGGUUUAAUUCGAUGAUACGCGAGGAACCUUACCCGGGCUUGAAUUGCAGAGGAAUUAUUUAGAGAUA
rnacentral:rRNA from 1 species